UCGUGAUCUGCCCACCUCGGCCUCCCAAAGUGCUGGGAUUGCAGGUGUGAGCCACCGUGCCUGGCCAGGCUGAGUUUUAUACAGUGUUUCUGCAAGUCAUCUGUGAAGAUAAUAUGUAAGCUUAAUAAUUCUAAAUAUUUGAGAGAGUAAGUGCAUCUCAUUUUAGUUUUUAAACGCCAUAGCCACCAAGCAUUAGUUAUAGGAAGACUGUAUAGUUCAAAGCAAUAUUUCAAAGACCUCUAACAGGAGUGAAAAUUGCAUAAUUCACUUGUAUGUCCUUAUCCAUCCCUUUUCUAAAUAAAAAUGCUCUACUACCUGGUCCAGGGUCUUUGAUUCCAUAGCAUAGUGGGAAGCAGGCACUAAACUGCUAAAUUCUAACACCAUCUGUAUGACCUAAAUCCUAAGAGAUAUAUUGUUUCUGCUGCCAAUGCCAGAAUCAACCUCAGCUGCCAACGCCAGAAUCAACCUCAGCUGCCAAAUGCUAGACUGAAAAAAGAAUGUAAACAGCUUGAUGGAGGGGAGGAUCCUGGUGCACCUGUGGUUUUGACAGCUUUUGCUGCUGCUUGAGGAGGAAACAGGUUGCCUGUUUGUUCUUCAAGAGCACUUCUGGCAUCCAGGUAUUAUGCAGGCAUGCACUGCCAGCUGUGAAAGAUGCCGCUUCCUUGUCACUUCAGAGAAUGAUGCUUCUACAGAAGAUCCCUCUUGCUAUUUCAUUCAGGGAGCUCGGGAGAGGAAGACAAAAAGAAUCAAAUGCAAAGCACAGAUCAUUGAAAGGGCCAGGGUCUGAAGUGAGACAACUCGUGUCACAGUGUUUUCAAACUUGAGAAUGGUACAGUAAAUUAGAAUGACUUAAUUGUAGUGAUUUUAAAAAGAUAUGAGUCCUCUAAUGGAUGGAUUAAAGAAAAGAAUAGCAAGAAAAUGCACAUAUACCAAAUUUUGACUGCCCGUGUGUUUAUACAGCCAAUGUUCUGUUCUGGUCAAGAAGAAAAGUAAGUAAGAUAACCUGUUUAUGUCAAGACAUCACAGAUGAGAAAAAAUAGAAUAUUAAAUCAUUGAGUCAACUUCAUAACUGAAAGUUUUUAACUGAAAUAUAUAUGCUUCACAGAUAAUCUAACAAUGUUGCAUGUAUUAUUUAUCUUAUGCUUACAUUAAAUACGUAUAUACCCUAAGGAAGAUUUCAAAAAUGAAAGUUUUGAAACAUGUUUCCUAUCAAUUAUUAAACUUAUUAUAAAACUUCAAUAGUUAAAAUAAUAUGGUUUAAUUGAUAUAAUGAAUCAGUAGAAGAGAUAUCAAACCUAAGACUCAAGAGUAUGAGAAUGUCAUGUAGAUAAAAAGGACAUUUCAAAUUAGUGGAAAAAGUGAAUUAUUCUAUAAAUUCUGUGAGUCAGUUGGAUAACUGUUAGGAAAAGAGAAAACCUAGAUCCCUACCUCAUUUUUAUUAAACUAAGUACCUUAUAUUAGGCUAAAGUAAAGAUAGGUGAAAGACUAAAAUAUACAAAUUAAAUAUAAUCACAAUAAAAUUGAGAAGAAAGCAUAAGUAAAUAUUUAAAAAACUUGAGUAACAAAGCUCAUUUCAAUAACGCCAUAAAAUUGGAAACAGCUCAGGAAAAGAUUUAUCAAUAUAAUUACAUAAACUCAUAGAACUUUUUAAAGACAAAAAGCAGCCUAUGGUAAAUUUGAAAGAAAAUGAAAAUUAAUAGAAUUACUUUUAAUAGUGUCAUUGUUAAAGCAUUCAUAUUUUAAUAUAUAAAAGCUCUUCAAAAUCAGUAAGGAUUAAAAAAUUGGUGAUCAUAAUAAAAAAAGGCAAGGGAUUUGAAAUAGGCAAUAGACAAAAGAGGAAACGUAAGUGGCUGGUAAACAUAGAUGAUAGAUAAAUGGAUGAAUAAGUAAUUAGGUAGCAUGUGGAUGCGUGGGGUAGGGGAGGGAAUGAAAGGGAAAAAGAGGGAAGACAAGGGAAGAAGGGAGGAAAAUCAAAAGGGAAGGGGACAAGAAAAGAAAAAAAAAUUAUACCAUUAUUCACUUAACAAAUUGGAAAAAGAUUUGGAGAAUGGACCACUCUUGUGAACUAAUAUACAAUAUAUUUUAAUGUUAAUUGUGCAUAGAUUUGACCCAGCAGUCUCAGUUCUGGAAAGUUACUCUAGCUAAUAUUAUAGCUAUAAAAAUAUUCACAGCAGAAUGCUUUAUAGUAGAAAUUAUAAUAAAGAAAACAACUUAAAUAUUCAUCAAGAUAUUAUUUAAUUGAAUAAUGGUUCUUAUUAUAAUUGGAUUUUAUAGUUCCACUCAAAUAAUGAUGUAGAAUUAAUUUAUUUGAAAACAUGCCCAGAACAUAUUGUUGAGUGGAAAAAAAUGAAGUUGCAGAACAGAAUAUAAGGUAUUUUUCUAGUUAUAUAUCCUUAUGUAUUUAUAUUAAUAAAACACCUAAAAGGAUUGUUACCAAACAACAUCAAUAGUGACUAUUUCUAGGUGGUAGCAUUUGAGGUAAUACAUCGUUUUACACUGGUACAUUUUUGGUAUUAUGUGACUUUUUCUAUUAGAGUAUACCAUUGUUACAAAAUGAAUAAAAGUUGUUUUCAAAAGAUAAAAAGCAUUUUGCUAAUUUUAAUUUUUAUUUGCUUCUUUUAAAUAUUUUUAAUCAUUGUACUUUUUACCUUGAGUAAAAUGAGAUGAAUGUCUAUGCAUUUUUAUUCUAGCAACAUUUUAUCUGGAAUUAUGUAGCCUGAAGGGAAAGCUCCAUACCCUUAUCUUUCUGUAUUUACUGAUUGUUCAUUCUUGGUAUAUUUGGCAUUUUAUUUAAUCUAUAAUUCAAAUAUACUCAGCAUAUCUCAUAAGAUUUGAUGGUCUAGUUUAUAAUUACUUUCAUUAUUGUAAAAUCUUGAUUUUUGUAGGUCAAUAAAUAGGGUUAAAAAUAAAUGAUUUGCAACCUCUUCUUUACAACAGCUCAAAAUGCCUCCAUUUCAUUUUGAACACAUCUCAAUAUCCACAUAAAGGCUCUAAACAAAAUUAAGUUUAAUUCACUCUAAAGGAAAGCACUUCUACAGACCGUUUUAAAGAGGAGGGUAACCAAUUUAAAUAAAUUAUCAGAUACUCAUUUUAUACAGAUGAGUGCUGCUAAUUACAAUCAGUCUCAUCUAUUCCUUAAAACUAGUCCAACAAGCAUGGAUAAACUUCGUCAGCAGUUAGUCACUUCAUUUAUUUGAAAACCUUAAAACAACAUGUCUUUAAAGAUAUUAUAUAUUUUAGAACUUUUACUAAUUUAGACUAUUUUGGAGGCAUCCCCGAAUAACGGGGUUUUACAAAAAUUCUGAUUUUUACAUGCUUCUUCUCAUUUGAUAUGUUUAGUCUUUAAGCAUUUUCAGUAUUUUCCGGUCUACAUACACUAACCUCUCUAUAUAUUCGACCUUUAAGUCCUCAGUUGUUUCAAGUUAUUAAAUAGUAGUCUACCCUCAGCUAUGUGUACUAGGAAAAUCAUCCCAUCCUUCUUGCAUUGUUUAAUUUACUGUAAUUUGUAUCUUAUUUGACUGUCUGAAGGUGGUGUCAUCUAAAGUAUCAUCUCCAUCCCAUUUCUUACUUGGCUUGUGAUGGAAGAACCAAACCAAAUUGGACUAACACUUACACAAUCUAUAGGUUUUAUAAUCUAUAUAAUCCACCUGUCCUACUUUCCUAAAUUGAUAAUAGAAAACCCUGUACUGGUUCUUUUUUAAAAAUAUUUAUUGUUGUCAUAAUUGUCAUUUUUCUAAAAACUUGCAUAAGCUGUUGUAAGCAGAGCAAAUGGUCUGUUUAUUCUUUCAGUACUUUUGAUUGACUAUGACUUGGCUGAUAUUAUAUUCUUUAUAUACACUGCUUGCUAUAACAAGCCCACCCACAUAAGAAACGUGCUGAGGAAUUAUCAAUCAGAGGGAUAUAUGUCUGUCAUCUUAGAUAAUAGCCUAAACUUUCCACCACCUGCCCCUUUUUAUAAAUUUUCAAGAGCUAUGAUUUUGUUAGAAGAUAAGCUAAGUGGACGUGAUUGUACGAUACUUGAAUAAACUAAGUUACACAGAAAACAUUUCUAUUGUGUUUCUAUCUACAGUAUUUAGCACAGUGCCUCUAACAUUAUAGAUACUCUCUAAAUAGGUGUUGAUCAAAUAGAUGUGUUUUACUUAUGAAAUUUGAUAAAGAUAGCCUGAAAGUGUAGGAAUGUUCUUCUCAGUUAUAGUUUAAGUAGUCAGGAUAACAGCCACAACAGAGGACCAUUCUAGAACCAGAGCUAUCCGAUGUUUACCAGCAGCAACACUGUAAAUUUCAAAACUUGAGGAUUCCUUGGGAAUUCUUUUAUCGACUUAGCAAUUAAUUUAAAUCUACUGUAAUUAAUUUCUGAGAAACCUGCAAAAGCCUAUUAGCUGGUAUUUAUAAACCAACUGAUACUAACCUGGGAGAACCGAUUGGAAUAAAUCAGUGUGUAUCAGCUAGAUAUGCUGCCCUGGCAUCUAGCCAAAUAGAAACAGACUAUUUCCAAGUUUCAGAAAAUAUAAUUAAAUUCAGCUUGAAAUGCAUCUAAAAGUCAUUGGCUGAUGUACUGGCCCAUGGAAAUAAAUAAUUACAUAUUGUAUUAAUAGAGUAUCUAUUUACCAGGAGUUCAAAGCACUGUUUUAACAAGCAUAUAUUCAUAAUAUUCUUGUAAACUAGAAAGGAGGUGCAUGUUUUCUAUAUAAUUAUUUUCCCAAAAAUAGUACUUUGUGAAAAGUCAUUGGCAGAUCAAGAGAUAUUCAUUCUCUUUUGAUUUAUGGUUCAAUAUUGUCCCCAGUUGAACAUAUCACCCAGUACCUCAUCAUCAGUAGGACUGUGAUUUUAACUUUCUUCUUAAAAAGCAAGUGGCUUCUUGCAAACAGAUGAUACCAAUUUCCUUUCUAGCACUUUCUAUAAUACGCCUAUUCUAAAAGGCUUAGCCUCUGCCUGAGGUAUGACCACAAUGUCUUCUAGCAAACCCAAGGCUCCAUUGCUUCUAAUCUGAAAACACAUAGUGCAAAUUUACCUCCCUUCCUCUUCACUACACUGUUCUCCUUCAGCUUUAUUACCUCUGCCAAUACACACUCAUACAUAGAAGGAAGCCUAACAUUCAUACAAUGUGGGUCCUUCCCUAGGUCUGAGGUUAGAAUCAUGUUCUCUUCCUUUCAUAUUAAACUACUUGUUACCUGUUUGGACUUCUGUUGACUUUCUUCAACAUGCAAUCUACUUGACUACUUGGAUUCAUAAUAUGCACUUACUUCUCCUUACAUUCGAAAAUUGUAAUUUUCAAAAUCUGCCUAUCCACCACUAAGAUAACUCAAUAAAUAAACUAUAUAGUCCACUCCCACCACCCCCCAUCCCAUGCCAAGACCUGCUAGAGAGACAGAGAGAGAGAGCUCCUUGAGAGUUUUGCAUCCUUAGCAUAGGCUGCCCUGGUCAUUCUCUCUGCUUGCAGGUGACCUUGCUACAUUUUCAGCCUGCUCCUUUAGUAUCCAUCAAGAACCCCCAUCCUUAACUAGACUCUUGCCCUGACUCAUCUUGGGAUUCAGUUAAAUCAUUAUCUAAACACUAACAUGGCCCCUCAAAAAUGUAGGAACAUCAUUUACCCCUGUAGCUGCUCACAAUAGCUAAUAAGCUUUUGCUAUAAAGAGACAGGAGACAGAAUGUUAUAAGUUAGUGGAAUGUAGUGAGUACAGAAAUACUUAUGUUCAAGAAUUCCAAGAUAGAUAGAUAGAUAGAUAGAUAGAUAGAUAGAUAGAUAGAUAGAUAGAUAGAUAGAUAAAAUAAAAAUUUAUAGAUCUCAGGUAAAGGGGAAGCAAUGCUAUAUGCAAUAUUAUUUUUGAACCUGACCUUGGCUUCAGCUGAAAACGGUAUAUUGUAUACUGUGGGCAAUAUAAGCAUAAUUAGAAACCAGUUUAAUUUUUUAAAAUUCAUUGAAUGUAACAUCCACUUUUCUGUGCUCUUUGAUUUUCAACAAUGUGCAUGUAUUACCUUUAUAACAUUAAACUUAAUGUUUAAAAUAUGCAGUGAAAAUAGAAACAAAAAUUAAGUAAUUAUUAGAGAAAUUUAUUCUUCAUUAGAGCUCCUUAUUUAAAUAAGUGAAACUAUGAAACCAUUCUUAAUAUAUCUGCCUAAUAACUAGCCCUAACUUAUAUAUAUCUGCCUAAUAACUGCCCUAACUUAGCAAGGAUGUACUUCUCAGAUAAUCUCAUGAAGGCCGUGGGAAACCGAGAAAGAUGAUGAUGAUAAAUUAAUACCCUCAAAAUUUUCCAUUAAUGUAUGUGAAUAUAUAUCUAAAUGUUGGUGUGAAACGUCAAUGGUUAUGUGUUUUCCUUCUCCUUUCAUUUGCAGAAGAGAAGAAAGGAAAUUUGGUUUGAUGUUAUCAGUUUUGAUUUGCUAACCCAAAAGGUCCAGAAUAAAGAACAAAUCAUUAUAAAUUCCUGGCAUUGCAAUCAUUGUGGAAAAUGCUGAUUUGGUUCUAUUAACUCACUAAUUCAAUUAAAAGGAGACUAGCAAAAAUCAUCUUAGGAGAGAUUCUGAACUCUUUACUUAAAAACUACUGUAUAACCUCAGGGUUUUGCUGAAGUGGGUAUUGUAGGUCGAGGAGUCUCUGAUAAUCUUCUGCAAUUAUACUUUGCUAAAUGAGCAGAACUGCAGUUCAGGUAGGAAAGGUCUAUGAAUUCCUGGCGUCUUGGAAGAAGCCUUUUGGCCAUUUGGGUGUUUUAUGUAAAUGUAGUUCUUUCUGGAGCUUGAGGAACUGAGCUAAGCUUAGGAGGAAUCAUAGACAAAGAGCAAGAAAUCCCCAGGCCCCUUCAAACAGUUCUGCUUUGUCUGCAGCCUAGUUAUAAGCGCUACCAUUCUUUCCUUCCCUCACUCUAACACUUCACUCUAAAAUGUGUCCUUUACAGUUACUGGGAUCUUAAUAUGUGCCAGGAAUUGCUUCAAAGCUUCCAUGUACUAACUCCUUUCGUCUUUACAAUGAUGAGGCAAAAACAUAUUAAGUAGCCUGACCAAGGUUAAAUAGCGAGUAAUAGGCAGAAUGAAGACUAGGACUGCAGAGCCCACUCUCCUCUACUCCUAGUGUGUUUUCAUCCAAUCAUGAAAACUACAAACUGCUCACUGAGGGCAGACAGCAGCUUGGAUUAGAUUAGCUACAUUGAAUUUCAUGGGAUACUCUUUUAAAAUAGUUUUAUAUCAUUUACUUUGUAUUUUGUUUAUCAAACCAAAUUGGAAAACAAUUGUAUUACCCAGUGAACCUGCAAAGUUUAAUUCUGCUAGAGAAUAGAAUUGGCCACUUGUGAGCUAUGCCAACCCAUUGAUAAUGACGAAAGUAAGCAUUUUUGAGCCUUCUUGGCCUCUUUUACAUCUCUUACCAUCUAAAUGGCAAUUGGGUGUCUUGCUGAAUCUUACCCAGCUGGCAAUCUAAAGUCUUGGUUAUAAUUCAGAAUUUUUGUCUGCCUGAGUGUAAUUCAAAUGCAGGGCCAGAUAUUCUCUUCAAAGCCAAGUUAUGAUUAAUGCUGGAAGUAUCUUCUAUGGAAACAUGACUGGGCUGGGAAGCCUGAGGUUUGAAUUCUAAGGCUGGAUCCACUCCCAAUUCGUUCUGCGGUACUGGGUUAACACUUUUCAUUUACUGAGUCUCAACUCCCACAUAUGUGGAAAGACAGUUUGAAGUAAAUGAUCUAUAAGAUUUCCUUGAGCUCCAAGACUCUAUGAUCCUCAUAGAGUUCUUAAUGAAAGAAAGAAAGAACCUAUUAUGUACAUGGUGAAAAGACAAUGGUAUCAUUUUCUAAGACUUAUUUUUAGAUGACUAGGAACAAGAGGGAUAACCUAAUUUCUAAUAUUUCAAAAAAAUUAUUAGGACUUCCACAAUGUUAAGUUCCAUCUUUCAUUAUAUGUUUUAGCUUUUUCUUUAAAAAAAAAAAAUCUCCCUAGAGAGAAAGGUAAAGACAGGAAAAGGAAGGAAAAGUUUAAGUGUCCUUAUAUAUUAAGGCUCAAGAAACCAGUUGACACUGUUUUUGUGCACUUGAAUAAAACAAUUUCUGGUAACAAAGUAGAACCCUACCUGCAGCAUUCCUUAGCUUGACUGUGAGAAAAUACAGUAAUUCCCUAUGUCUCAAGAAAGAUCUGGGUUGUUGCUGUUCACUAGGGACAUGAAUAUUUGCAAUGAUGUGCAAGGGUGUGAAGGGCCUCCUCCGAGCCAUUGAAAAACACACUUCAUGUCCCUGAGGUGUCAGUUUUACUUACUGAUUUUAAGGAGAGGAAUUGCUAUUUCUAUAUUAAAACAAAUAUGUAAACGUAAAUAUCUUAGGUAAGAAAAGAAGAAUCACCUAUUAAUGGUGAAGAAACACAUGAAUAUUAAUAGAUUACUAUCCCUACAGCAGAUGCUUCAGGUGACUACAGCCAGCUCCAGAGGUUCCAAAGAUCUUAAAGAUGUCCCAGAAAAGUUCUAGAGUACUAUCAGAUCUCACACUUUGCCUUGGAAGCUGUCAUUCCCCUCCAUUGGCCCCACAACUGCAGUAUAAUCUUCAGUGACAGGAGAAAAUCGACCUUGUUUGUACAGAAGUCUCAGCAGGAAUAGGCAGAUGCCUGUUUUUGCUGCCAAGGAUGGAGGAUUGGAAUGGGCCCAUUAUAUAUUUUGAGGCUUUGAAGAAAAGUCUCAGGAUAUGUUUUCCCAUUAAAAUACUGUUAUAAACAAUUAGA
rnacentral:lncRNA from 1 species